rnacentral:rRNA from 1 species
GACGAACGCUGGCGGCGUGCUUAACACAUGCAAGUCGAACGGAAAGGCCCUGCUUUUGUGGGGUGCUCGAGUGGCGAACGGGUGAGUAACACGUGAGUAACCUGCCCUUGACUUUGGGACAACUUCAGGAAACUGGGGCUAAUACCGGAUAGGAGCUCCUGCUGCAUGGUGGGGGUUGGAAAGUCUCGGCGGUUGGGGAUGGACUCGCGGCUUAUCAGCUUGUUGGUGGGGUAGUGGCUUACCAAGGCUUUGACGGGUAGCCGGCCUGAGAGGGUGACCGGCCACAUUGGGACUGAGAUACGGCCCAGACUCCUACGGGAGGCAGCAGUGGGGAAUAUUGCACAAUGGGCGGAAGCCUGAUGCAGCAACGCCGCGUGCGGGAUGACGGCCUUCGGGUUGUAAACCGCUUUCGCCUGUGACGAAGCGUGAGUGACUGUAAUGGGUAAAGAAGCACCGGCUAACUACGUG